rnacentral:rRNA from 1 species
CAGCUCUCCGAGUGGUAGGGAUGAUUAUUGGGCUUAAAGCAUCCGUAGCCUGCUUAGCAAGUCUCCUGUUAAAUUCAGCGACCUAAUCGUUGAGCCGCGGGAGAUACUACUAGGCUAGGAGGCGGGAGAGGUCGACGGUACUUCUGGGGUAGGGGUGAAAUCCUAUAAUCCCGGGAGGACCACCAGUGGCGAAGGCUGUCGACUAGAACGCGCUCGACGGUGAGGGACGAAAGCUGGGGGAGCGAACCGGAUUAGAUACCCGAGUAGUCC